rnacentral:rRNA from 1 species
CAGCAGCCGCGGUAAUACGUAGGGUGCGAGCGUUAAUCGGAAUUACUGGGCGUAAAGCGUGCGCAGGCGGUUAUAUAAGACAGAUGUGAAAUCCCCGGGCUCAACCUGGGAAUGGCGAUGGAGACUGCAAGGCUAGAAUCUGGCAGAGGGGGGUAGAAUUCCACGUGUAGCAGUGAAAUGCGUAGAUAUGCGGAGGAACACCGAUGGCGAAGGCAAUCCCCUGGACCUGUACUGACGCUCAUGCACGAAAGCGUGGGGAGCAAACAGGAUUAGAGACCCGCGUAGUCCCUGUCUCUUAUAC